UACGUAGGGUCCGAGCGUUGUCCGGAAUUAUUGGGCGUAAAGAGCUCGUAGGCGGUUUGUCGCGUCUGCUGUGAAAUCCCGAGGCUCAACCUCGGGUCUGCAGUGGGUACGGGCAGACUAGAGUGCGGUAGGGGAGAUUGGAAUUCCUGGUGUAGCGGUGGAAUGCGCAGAUAUCAGGAGGAACACCGAUGGCGAAGGCAGAUCUCUGGGCCGUAACUGACGCUGAGGAGCGAAAGCGUGGGGAGCGAACAGG
rnacentral:rRNA from 1 species